UUCUAUCAGUAUAUUAAUGUAUCAGAUCAAACCCUAUUCUAUCAGUAUAUUAAUGUAUCAGAUCAAACCCUGUUCUAUCAGUAUAUUAAUGUGUCAGAUCAAACCCUGUUCUAUCAGUAUAUUAAUGUAACCCUGUGUGUCAGAUCAAACCCUGUUCUAUCAGUAUAUUAAUGUAACCCUGUGUGUCAGAUCAAACCCGUUUCUAUCAGUAUAUUAAUGUAACCCUGUGUGUCAGAUCAAACCCGUUUCUAUCAGUAUAUUAAUGUAGCCCUGUGUAUCAGGUCAAACCUUUCAGCCCAAUGUUGUGUUUCUUCAACAUUUCCAAAGCGACCUCUAUCUCAGGUUUAGAUUGUUUGUUACCCUCUGUAUUUUGUUCUUCAUAAUCAUGACAUAUUAGAGAAGACAGGAAAAAAGAUUUCAUGUAAUGGCCUACAACAUAGGGGUAGGGGACUAGUCGGAUGUGAGAUGAGUGGACCAUGUUUCUACUGUUUCAGAAGCUGCUGAUGCCAACAUGUAUCCUACUGACACA
rnacentral:lncRNA from 13 species